CUUUCCCGCCCCACCCCCGACUUUCGGUUUCCGGCUCCUCCGCUCCGAGAAGUCCCCUCAGACAGCGGCGGCUGCGCGUCCGCCUGCGACCCCGCCAGCGACCCCGCCGCUGCCCCCGACUCCAGCCGGACCCCGCGCCGGGCCCGCCCCGACCCGGACCCGCGCUGCCUCACCCAACGGUCUCUGAGCGCCCGGAACUCGGCGCCCGCGCGGCCGCCGCCCCCGCCGCUGUCGGCCCGCCCCACCCCAAACCCUCCUGAUGGACUGACGCGCGAGCCUACCACGAACGCGAAAGGAGCCGCGGAGAGCGCCUAUUGGUCGGAAUCGUCUGCUGUGGGCCCGCCUCCUGACGGAUUGACACGAGGGCCUACCAAGAGCGUUCUGGGAGCCGCAGCAGGCGCCGAUUGGUCGGCGCUGCAGCAGCUUGAUACUUAAGUUUGCUCUCGCAGGUUGCAAGCGGUCGCGGAGUCCCAGUGUGCUAAAUCUGCUGUGAGGUCCGGACUACGAGGGCCAGCCUAAGGCUCUCUCGCUCCAUACUCCCAUCCCCACGAAGGCUCGAAUCGCCGGAACAGAGGCAUAGUCUCUUUUGGGGAUAGUGAGACAUCUAGAACUAACUGGAUUGUCCACUGCAAAAGAUUUAAAUGGUCCUUUCUUAUGUUGUGUGAAAUUUACCACCAAAGAAAAGCGUCUCCUCUGCCUUUUUGACACAUGGAAAUGUGGAACAAGCAAAUAGGAACAUCUAGAAGGCGGCAUCGCUGGGAGGGCUGACUCCGUCAUCUCCAUAAGGGGUCAGCCAGCAUUGGACAGGAUAGCGCGUGGGCUUUGCCAAAAAAUGAGCAGACACUCUCGUGUUCCGUGAGUUUCCGCGGCUCUCUCCCUGGGCUGGAAAGGAAGAAGGUUCAGAGGCCUGUGUACAGAGUUGAGACUUACAAGACUCAAGAGGUGCUCUGAUGGGAAGUGGCCACUGGCUCAGCUCAGAAAAAGGUGACUCACUCUGGGGAUUACCACACAGGUUCCUUCCUGCCAAAAGAAAGCAAAAGUCGAGACCUGGGUUGUGGCUUAGUGGCAGGACGCUCGCCUAGCAUGUGUGAAGCCCUAGGUUCAAUCAUCAGCACCACAUAAAAAUAAAUAAGUGAAAUAAAGGUAUUGUGUCCAACUACAACUAAAAAGUAAAUAUUUAAAAAAGAAAGCAAGAAAGCAAAAGUCAUCCCACCAGGGCAGCCCCUGAGGGCAAGGCAGGGCAAGUUCCCCUGGGCAGACUCAAGAGGGGCCCCAGCAUCUCCCAAGCCCUGAGAACCAGCAGUUACAUUCCCGUAGCUUCAGGGUCUGGGGUGCUCAUGAGGUGGCCACUGUCCUGGGCCUCAGUAUCCUGACCUGAGAGUGCUGGAGCCCCUGCAGAAAGUGUGAGGCUCACCAUGGACAGGGCUAGAUGCAGUGGACACCAGCUCCUGUGACUUGGCCACAGAGGGGAGGCCCCAGCAGCUGCCCAUUAGACCUACAGAGCACUGAAGGGGACAACUGCCAGUGGCCCCCACUCUACCUGAAGGUCCUCAAGGAAAGCAGCUGCCCCUUGGCAGUCCAACCACUGACGUCUCUCUCUCUCUGCUGCUGCGGCUUCUGCUUUUCAUUUCAUGUCCAGUAGGGCACUGUGGACACUUCUGAACACAACUGAGCACUCACCUUUCCCAGACAGGGCCGCUGUCCUUGAGGCCCAUGCCUCACGUCCUUUACUCCCUCGGGCCUUUGGGGUGACAGCCAACUUGCAUGUGGGAGCAGGAGGCACAAAGGCUAUACACAGGAUGCCCCUCAUGUAACUGGUGCUGCUCCCAGGGGGGGAGUCACCUCACAGAGGCCACAGUCCCUUGCUUACCCUAAAAGUGGCUCUUUUUCCUCAGUCAUUUGAAAGUUGCCUUGUGCUGCCACUCCUGAAAGACACCAGCUGCCCUGUCUGCCACUCUCUGAUAGGCGCGCUCCUGGAAAGGCCAAAACAGCUCUAAGCCAGGGUCCCCCACACAAGCACACCGUGGGGGCUUUUCCCUAGCUCAGUGCCCAGCCUACAGCCAGCUGGAGGUGCAGCAUCUCCUGGAGGCCCUGUAGGGUGUUGGGGGGGACCCUAGUGAAGGGAAAGAGAAUGACAAACUUCCUGUGGCAUUGCUCUGGGGCCAGCAGGUGGGCUGCCUCCUGGGUGCAGGGAUGGGGCAGGUCUCACCCCCAGGUAGUGGCUCAAAUGUCUAAAGGGUCAGUUCAGGACCACCCCUCAGGAGACCAUGUAUGAGGGUGAGCUCCUGAGGCAACAUGGGCAUCAGUAGGAAUGGUACGGCAGGCAGCCACCUGCUCAGGUCCCAUUCUGAACAAGCCUUCUUAUGCUUCCCAUGCGUCCACGUCAGAAUGUUUCUGGUCAGGCACAGUAGUCACACCUAUGAUCCAGGGACUCCAGAGGCUCAAAAUUCCAGCCAAGCUCAGCAAGACUGUCUCAAAAUAAAGAGGACUUGGGGUGCAGUGUGGUGGAAAGGUUCCCUGGGUUCACUCCUCAGUGGCCCCAAAGUUUCUGCUUUAAGCAACACAGGUCACUUGGGGAUGUCUGGAAACUACAGAAAGGACCAAGAAGAAAGUAAAGAAGACUCCCCAGUUCCCUUAUCCACGACGACACCUGAGGUGAAGACCUGCUUCAGUGUGACCCUCAGCCAGCCUCAGAGCCACCUCACACCAGAGCCAAAGGCCCAGCCUGGCCAGGCCUCUACAGCAGCAGCCCCUCACCUGGCACCCCUCCUUCCCUGCUUGGCAUAUCCUGGGCCUUUUUUGGAUUUUUUUGUUGUUGUUUUAUUGAUUUUAUUUUUUUAAAUACACAACAGCAGAAUGCAUUACAAUUCUUAUUAUACAUAUAGAGUACAGUUUUUCAUAUCUUUGUAUAAAGUAUGUUCACGCCAAUUCAUGCCUUUAUACAUGUACUUUGGUGUCUUUUUUUUUACAUUUCAAUUCUUAUUACACAUAUAUACCACAA